GCAGUGGCGGAUCCAGAGCCUGAUCUCGGGAGGGGCACUUGUAGAUUAUUUAAAGAAAUAAUCCAGACACAAUAACCACUACAGCUCAGUGUAGUGGUUAUGGUGUCAAUAGUGCCGGGAUCCCCUCCCAGAGUAAGUAGUCAAACCGUUUAAGAACAGUUUGACAACUUACCUGAGGUCUGCUGGGAAAUGGGACUGUAGUAGGGCAUAGGAGCAGUGGUGUGUGUGAGUG